ensembl:lncRNA
UUGUGAGAACUGUUGCAAAACUAAGGAAGUCAAAACAGGAAAAUUCUCGCCUGACAGGUUCAUCUCAAUGCUUCUCUUAGCACUGAAAUGUUAUGUUCGUUUCUAGGAUUUGAAAAAGGUUUGAAAACAUUUUAAACACUGAACGUAAUCUGCUUUAAAUGUACUGUGUUCAGUGAACAGGGAAGUUUUGUUGUAAACCAUCUUCACUCCAUGAUCUCUGAAUAAUUCGCAUCACGCUUUAUUGAGUUUUCCUCUGAUGUGAUUUGGGAAGCAUGCAGGAUACCAUGGGGUGUAAUGCAGCAUUCCUGCUCUUCUGGGGAAUCUUGAAUUCUUACUUUCCUCUAGAUUGCUGCCAAACUGCCCCUACUUUUACUGCCAGUUAUUCUCCAGACCUUUACGUCUCUGUUUCUACAACAACUCCAGACUCAAGUUCAUCUAUCUUCACCAAAACAUCAGAACCAAAUACCCUCACAAACACAAGUAAAACUGAGUCUUACUCAACCAUAAAAACAACUACACAACUGAAGAACACUUCUCUUAGUGACACUUCUGACUCAACAUUAAACCAACAAAGCAUUGCCACUAAAACAACGGAGCCCUUAACCAAUGCUACUGCACAUGGGAUCAGUUCAACAGGAAGCACUAAAACAACUAGCUCGGACACAUCAACAACAUCUGAGACACAUACACUGACUCCAAAUCAUGCAAACAAUGAUUCCAUUACCACCACUGAUUCCAAAACAAAGUAUAAAGUAGAGCAAACCUCAGAUAGCAAUACAUCUAUUUCUUGGUCUACUGGAACAUUAACUGGUACCCAAAGGCCUGAGCUAACAACCGACACUUUAACCAACAGUAGUGUCACAAAGACAUCAUAUUCUGAAUUGACAAAAACAAUAACUGUGCCUACAAAAACUCCAAACAUUUCAUUAGAAUUCCCUGAUGUGUCUUCUAAAACAUCAUACUCCACUGUGACAACAACACAACAGCUUGAUUCAUCAGACCAUACUCAAGUCUCCAUCACAUCAAAUGAAUCGACAGCUAAAAUGUUUUCCUCUACAACAACUCCAGACUCAAGUUCAUCUAUCUUCAUCAAAACAUCAGAACCAAAUACCCUCACAAACACAAGUACAACCGAGUCUCACUCAACCAUUCAACCAACUACACUACUGAAGAACACUUCUCUUAGUGACACUUCUGACUCAACCUUAAACCAACAAAGCAUUGCCACUCUAACAACGGAGCCCUUAACCAAUGCUACUGCACAUGGGAUCAGUUCAACAGGAAGCACUAAAACAACUAGGUCGGACACAUCAACAACAUCUGAGACACCUAAACUGACUCCAAUUCAUGUAAACAAUGAUUCCAUUACCACCACUGAUUCCAAAACAAAGUAUAAAGUAGAGCAAACCUCAGAUAGCAAUACAUCUAUUUCUUGGUCUACUGGAACAUUAACUGGUACCCAAAGGCCUGAGCCAACAACCGAAACUUCAACCAACAGUAGUGUCACAAAGACAUCAUAUUCUGAAUUGACAAAAACAAUAACUGUGCCUACAAAAACUCCAAACAUUUCAUUAGAAUUCCCUGAUGUGUCUUCUAUAACAUCAUACUCCACUGUGACAACAACACAACAGCUUGAUUCAUCAGACCAUACUCAAGUCUCCAUCACAUCAAAUGAAUCGAAAACUACAAUGAUUUCCUCUACAACAACUUCAGACUCAAGUUCAUCUAUCUUCACCAAAACAUCAGAACCAAAUACCCUCACAAACACAAGUAAAACCGAGUCUUACUCAACCAUAAAAACAACUACACAACUGAAGAACACUUCUCUUAGUGACACUUCUGACUCAACAUUAAACCAACAAAGCAUUGCCACUCAAACAACGGAGCCCUUAACCAAUGCCACUGCACAUGGGAUCAGUUCAACAGGAAGCACUAAAACAACUAGCUCGGAUACAUCAACAACAUCUGAGACACCUACACUGACUCCAAAUCAUGCAAACAAUGAUUCCAUUACCACCACUGAUUCCAAAAUACAUUAUAAUUUAGAGAAAACCUCAGUCAGCAAUACAUCCAUUUCUUGGACAACUGGAACAUUAACUGGUACCCAAAGGCCUGAGCCAACAAACGAAACUUCAACCAACAGUAGUGUCACAAAGACAUCAUUUUCUGAAUCGACAACAACAAUGCUUGCGUCUACAACUACAGGCUCUUCAUUAGCGUCCCCUGAUGUGUCUUCUAAAACAUCAUACUCCACUGUUACAACAACACAACAGCUUGAGUCAUCAGACCAUGCUCAAGUCUCCAUCACAUCAAAUGAAUCGACAACUACAAUGAUUUCCUCUACAACAACUCCAGACUCAAGUUCAUCUAUCUUCACCAAAACAUCAGAAACAAAUCCCCUCACAAACACAAGUACAACCGAGUCUCACUCAACCAUUCAACCAACUACACUACUGAAGAACACUUCUCUUAGUGACACUUCUUACUCGCCAGCAAUCUACCAAUCUAUUAAUGAAUUAGAUACUACAUCUUUCAACCAUCUGAAAACACAAAUGUCUCAAACAUUUGCUGCUGCCACUGCACUUAUUCAGCCUCCAUUGUCACCGAUCACGCCAGACAAUGAAUAUACUGCAGAGCCUUCAUUUACAACAUCAACACUGACAGACUUCAAAAGCACACUGAUAAAUGUACAGAAAGCAGCAUCUAUGUCAUCUCCAUCAGAAAAUCUGCUAAAUGACAGUCAAGAAACUCCAACACCUGUGACAGAAUCGCAAUCAUCUCAGUCCACAACAAAUUAUAUAACACUAAAUUCUAGUUUGACUAUUUCCUCAGACUCAACAACACUGGUUCAGACCUCAAGCCCUGACAUACCAGUGGAAGUUACAGCUACACCUGAACACAUCCACCCAGAGCGCUCACAAACAACUGUAACUGAUUUCAGAGCAUCAACUCUACAGAGAACAUCUACAAUAACACCAACGCUGGUUCCCAGCCAUCUGCAAACUCAGGAAACAGUUUCAAGACAAGGAGUGACACCUGAUUCAAAGUCCACAUCCAUGAACAUGCCCUCAAUGUUUCCAACCACUCAGGAAAACCAAAAAACGAACACUCACACAUCCUUAAGUCCAAUUUCUCCCACAUCUCCGCUCAGGUCCCUAAGCAAUGACUCAAAACCCGUCACCACUUCAUUAGCUCAUGAAUACAGAGGCUCAGCUUUGGUGAUAUUAACUCAAAGUGGGCUAAACAGGUCUGAUUCAGAAGGUACUACAAUCAAAGACACCUGGUCAAACAACAUAUCUUCAAUACCAGCAGGUCUAACAAACCCACCAUUGUCAAGCAACACCAGCAGAGAUGGAAAUACAGAUAACUCUGCAAACUCAGUGAAAAGCACUACUUUUUUUGUCUUCAACACUCCCAAAGUGCCUGUGUUUAAAACAAUCACCUUUAAUCACCCAUUGGUUAAUCAAGUCACAGUGAUGAAAACUGUUUCAAGACCAUGAAACGGUCAUAUAAAAUGACUUAAAAGCAAAGUGUGUGAGUCUGAGAGCUUAUAUCUGGCUCCUCGUGUGCAUGACUAAUGUGGAAGAGCCAGAGACAGAUCAGGAAUAUAAAGAAUGUAGAAGUUGAAAUGUUUUUGUGGUUACUGAACAUCAAGCAGAUCAUAUGACUAAGUGCCACACACCAACAAACAAAUAAACAAAGACUGAAACCAAAUGUGAUGGAAGAA